UUUUUUUUUCCCCCGUUUUUUAAAAGCUCUGCCGCUGUCUGAGCGCGCCCUGGGUUUUCCAGCAUUUAUUUGGAGCAUUUGAUUCUAAUUAUCCGCGGAAUCCAGCCUUCUAAUUGCGACUUGGGAAAAAAAAAAAAAAAGCAACUCCCCAAAUUCCAGUUUUAUCCGUUGCUUCCCCCCUCAGCCCCCCUGCCCCCCCGGAAAAAGGGGGUCAAGUACAAGAUUUACAGGGGAAAAAAAAUAAAUUAGAAAUUGCGCGAGUGCUUCAAGCAUUCCAGGAUUUAAAAAGUAACAGGAACGCGGUGGUUUUGAGAGCAUUUUGUUUAAUUACUGCGAUGUAUAAUCACAUUGAAAUAAAGCGUACACAUUGAAUUUAAAUGUAACCCUGUUUAAAUGUGGCUGAAUGUCCAUAUGCUUUCUCUGUGAAAAUGAAUAUAUUCUGUUAAAGUGCAAAGCAGGAUUUUAUUUUAUUUAAAAAGUCUCUUAUUUCCUUCCUAGUAAUUUCUCAGAAUUUCAGCUUUCAGUUUGCAAAGUCACAAAGUGACUUUGGGCGAAGCUUUUUUAAAUGUAAUUUUACAACGUGUCUUUUAAAAAAAAUAUUCUUGUUUUUAAGGCUCAAGGCAUGCUAUAUGUGCUGAAGUUACAAGUGAGGAAUAAUUGAACUUUUCUUCCAGGGCCCAAUCCAAAGCUUAGUGAGAUUGUGGAAGAGUUUCUGUUUCCUUGGGUUUUGGACCGGUGGCUUUGCAGUGCAGUUGGACACUCGGCAGGACUAUUUUUUUUUUUUCCCUCAUCUGACAAAUAAUUAAUGUACAUUUCUAUAAUGCCUGUCUCUUUCAGUUCUCGUAGCUCUUUGAGAAGUUUACCUCACCGAAAUUCUGUGAGUCAGGUAAAUUGUAUUUCAUCCGUUUUUGAGGUGGCUGAGUCAACGCAAUCAUCACUAUUUUUAGUCCAGCUUUUCAAAGACAGCCUCUCCGCAUGAGGAGUCCCUUCCUUGGAAGAUCUGAACCUUGUUGCGUGGCUGAGGCUGGGCAGGGAUUUGUGGGACACUGAGAGCUUUUGGGGCAAGCCCAAGGAGGUAGGAAAACAAGAUGCCCCCUAUUUUCUGAUCCCCGCCUUCAACUCCAAAUCAAAUUCCUGGAAAAGAAGCCCUCAAGGACAGCAGGAGUUAGAGACGUUGGGUUUCUUCUCCCUUGCGUGUUGCUGCCUUUCACAGCUCCCCACUCUACCCAAGGCAGGGAAUUGCGUUUCUCAGCCCACACACUUGAAUCCCUCUUUGUCCAACGCAGGUAGAAGGAGGAGGACAACUUUUGGUAGUUGCUUCCUCUUACUCCAGAGAAGGGCAGGGGGAAGAGGUAGUGCCUGGAGCCCAGAGCAGGGUACGUGUUCUGCUUCACAUCUGCCUUUGUGAUCUUGCACAAACCAUUUCAAACCGUCUCUGAGCGUCAGUUCUCAGCCGAGCUGGCGGAGGGAGCGGCGUUUCCCUGCCUGGCACACCAACCUGAGCUGGGCAAGGGUGCAAGAAGCUGAGAUGACACAGGAAGAGGAGGGAGCUGGAGCACCUGGGAAACUUCAGUAGCUCCGGUUUCCUGAGAAGUUCACUCAUCCAUGAAAUGAAAUGAGAUUACGCUGGGACAGCAAGUGGGUUCAAGUGGCGUCAUUUGUCUUACCGGGGUCUCAUGUUCAAAUUUUGUAUGACAAAGUACCAGCGAUGUUUGCACAGGGAUGGGCAAAUGAUGGAGCUGCCGGGCAGGUCUUGCAGUGAUCUCACAUGAUGUGUCAUUUAGACCUGCCUUAAUGCUUCUCUCUCUUCACCCAGCCUGCUGCAGGGCGGGCCCUGACAUCAGGAUUUCCAGGAAAAGGUUGCAGAUCUGGAGGGAAGAACCAAGAUUCCCAUUGCCCAAUGGAGCCUUAAAGAAUAUACCCAAGCUGGUCUGACAAGGUCUUCAAUAAAGUUCCUGGGCAGCUCACACCAGUGUUGUUUGGGAUCAGACACUAAAUACAAGGUCUGCAUGUUUGGCUCCAUCACAUUUUCACUCGUCACCUGGGAACACUCAGAAUCCCCAUGGGAUGGAGGUGGCUUGACCUCCAUCCUGGUUCCUCUCUGCUAUACCUAUUCGUUAUGCAGGAAUAAGUGUAUGUGUGUGUUUGUGUUGCCUUCAGAGCAGUCAGAGCCCCACUAACGUCAGGGGGGAGAAAUGCCAUCUUCAGUAGAAGACAGGGAAGGUAUUUUCAGAGCAUGAGAGCACGUUGGGAACCACUGCAGAGGAUGGGAUAUGCUCUGCAACGCGCACACGUACUGCGCUCCCUCCCUGGCUGGGUGCUGGCCCAGCCCAAAGGAAUAGUUUGGCAGCUGCAGGGUGAACAACGGAGGAACAUGUCCCCCAGCAGCUCCCUUCCAACCCAUGAACAUUUACCUGGCGCUGAUACAAGAAACUCACCUGCACUGGGCAGGACUCCACUGACCUCUCUCUUGCUUGAAAUGCAAGUGGAGAGGAAUGCACGGGAUUCCAAACCCUUUUCUAGGUUUCACUGUGGCAGCAGAUAUCAGAGAAAAAAAAGGACAUUUAUUUUUAGGAAGUCUUGACUUCAGGGUGAGUCAAAGGCAGUGAGGGCUUCAUGAAAAUCUUCACGUUACAUUGCGCCUGGCGUGCAAUUUCUGCUAAAAUAAAAUAAUAUAGCCUUUACUAACAAGAGCUUUUAUCAUUAUUAAUUCUUUAAUAUCCCAGUGGAAAAAAAGUUAACUAGUGGCUUGUUCUGUGUUUUUAUCUUGCAGUUUUCCCAGCCUGAAGUUGCCCACUGUGGUGCCAGCAGCCAAGGACUCGGAGGGGAAACAAUUAGAAACCCAAAAGGGACAGCUUUCUCUGUCGGUCUCAGAAAAUAUGCGUGUGUAAAGACCAAAUCCAGUGGGAAGGGAAAGAUAUGUCAAUGUGUUAUUUCUGUUCAAAUAUUCCAGGAUAUCAGCAACAAAACAAAAUUUGCUUUUGCGGGGCCAACACCACACAGGUGUGUGUUAUGCAUUAAAGGCCAGGCGAGACACUGGCAAAAGAUCUCUUUCUUCCUGCACAGCACAGGCAGGACGGCGGCUUUUCAAAAUAAUGAAGAACCACAAUUCUAUUCAUUAUAAUUAUUGCGGUAAUUGUUUGUCCUAUGGUACCACUUAAGAACCCCUCUUCUGAACCCCGUCCUUAUAGAAGCUGUACAAAUACAGGAGGAAAUAAAGGUAAUUCUUCCUCUGAAAA